rnacentral:rRNA from 1 species
AGGACUAACGCUGGCGGCGUGCCUAACACAUGCAAGUCGAACGAGAGUAGCAAUACUCUAGUGGCAGACGGGUGAGUAACACGUGGUCAACCUACCUCUUAGUGGGGGAUAACUAGCCGAAAGGUUAGCUAAUACCGCAUUCGAUCUUCGAUCGGCAUCGAUUGAAGAUGAAAGGCGCAAGUCGCUAAGAGACGGGACCGCGUCCCAUUAGCUAGUUGGUAGGGUAAUGGCCUACCAAGGCGACGAUGGGUAGCUGGCUUGAGAGAGCGACCAGCCACACUGGGACUGAGACACGGCCCAGACUCCUACGGGAGGCAGCAGUGAGGAAUUUUCCGCAAUGGGCGAAAGCCUGACGGAGCGACGCCGCGUGUGGGAAGAAGGCCUUCGGGUCGUAACCACUGUCGAAGGGGAGAUAUUGACGGUACCCUUGGAGGAAGCCCGGCUAACUACGUGCCAGCAGCCGC